rnacentral:lncRNA from 1 species
AGGAAAUAUUAAAUCUUUCUGCCUUUUAUAUUUGUUUGUAGUGUCUCUGUAGUGUCAAGUGCACAUGGACAGUUUUGGUAAAAGCCUCACAUAAUGCUGAGAAGGUGCAAGAAGAGGAGGUGGUCUAUACUAUCAAAACAAGGAUAAGGACUGAGAAAAGGCCAACAAAACAAGCAGUUAAGAAAGCAUUGAUAACCUCAGAGGGAGUAGUUCCAAUCUAUAGGUGUGGAGUUGGAAGGAAAAGAGGAAAACAGCUUGGAACUCAAAUGUAACCAAAAAAAUGUGUCUCUCUACUCACUGAGAAAAGAAGCAAGGAAAGAAGAAAAGAGAAAGUUAAGAUAAAGAGAAGAAAAGAAAAAGAGGGGAAGGAAAGAAGAGAGGAGUAAGGAGAGAGUGAAAAGAAGAGAUAAAAAGGAAGAGAAGGAGUGUGAGAAAAAUGGAGGAGAUAAAAAGAACCCUUGUAUCAUGUAAGCACAGUCAAGCAAAACCAUUUCUCAGAUUGUCCAUGUCCAAACAUUGAUUUCUCAUUCUGAAUAUCAACCCUUCAUCUCUCUGUUAUGAGUUUGGCAGUUUUCUGUUUUGUUUUUCCUUAGUCUUUCUCUUAAUAAGUACACAAUCUAACUGUACAGGUAAGGCCAUGAACCCAGAAGCAGGGAAGAGGCACAGUGCUAAGAGCAAACAAAUUUGGAGAGGUUCAUCACCAGAACAUUAGUGAUUAUAUGUCUGAAUUAUUAUUGUGGGUAUUGUAAUUGGGACCUGGUCAGUGGAAGUCAAUCUCAGAAUAUGUAUAUUUUGCCUGUUUCUUGCCCUUUGCUUGUGGAAUGGAAUGAUGGUGGAUAAUUUGGAGCAUACACAGGAAGUAUUCUGAUGGUUUCUGAUUGUCUUGCCACCUUAGGAAGAUACAUCUUUUGAUUGGUUGCUUAGCCAGACCCCUGCCUUUGUAUACUAAGGCUGGAUGACCACUUGUCAGUUAUGAUUCAUGGGAGAUACCUUUGUGUAUAAGGUGUUUUAGAUGUCAGCUAAGACUGAUUCCAACUCUAAAAUUCUGUGAUUCUAUAUGAACUGAUGGAGAGUUGAGUAAGCAGAGACAGAAGAACAAUAUGCACAAUGACUGAAAUAACGUAAACAGAAAAAAAAAAACCAUUAAAAGACAGGUAGAAUUGGAAUGAUAU